AAUACCGCGUAAUAACUCCGAGAGGCAUCUCCUGGGGUUUAAAGGGUAACACCGGCUACGGAUGGCCAUGCGGCGCAUUAGCUAGUUGGCGGGGUAACGGCCCACCAAGGCGACGAUGCGUAGGGGUUCUGAGAGGAAGGUCCCCCACACUGGUACUGAGACACGGACCAGACUCCUACGGGAGGCAGCAGUGAGGAAUAUUGGUCAAUGGGCGCGAGCCUGAACCAGCCAAGUCGCGUGAGGGAAGACGGUCCUAUGGAUUGUAAACCUCUUUUGUCGGGGAGCAAAAGACGCCACGCGUGGCGUUCCGAGAGUACCCGAAGAAAAAGCAUCGGCUAACUCCGUGCCAGCAGCCGCGGUAAUACGGAGGAUGCGAGCGUUAUCCGGAUUUAUUGGGUUUAAAGGGUGCGCAGGCGGAAGAUCAAGUCAGCGGUAAAAUUGAGAGGCUCAACCUCUUCGAGCCGUUGAAACUGGUUUUCUUGAGUGAGCGAGAAGUAUGCGGAAUGCGUGGUGUAGCGGUGAAAUGCAUAGAUAUCACGCAGAACUCCGAUUGCGAAGGCAGCAUACCGGCGCUCAACUGACGCUCAUGCACGAAAGUGUGGGUAUCGAACAGGAUUAGAUACCCUGGUAGUCCACACAGUAAACGAUGAAUACUAAUUGUUCGGGGAGAAUGAUCCCUGAGUGAUACAGC
rnacentral:rRNA from 1 species